CACGUAGGGUGCGAGCGUUGUCCGGAAUUACUGGGCUUAAAGAGCUCGUAGGCGGUGUGUCGCGUCGGCCGUGAAAACCUGCAGCUUAACUGUGGGCUUGCGGUCGAUACGGGCAUCACUGGAGUUCGGCAGGGGAGACUGGAAUUCCUGGUGUAGCGGUGAAAUGCGCAGAUAUCAGGAGGAACACCAGUGGCGAAGGCGGGUCUCUGGGCCGAUACUGACGCUGAGAAGCGAAAGCGUGGGGAGCGAACAGG
rnacentral:rRNA from 1 species